GAUGAACGCUAGCUACAGGCUUAACACAUGCAAGUCGAGGGGAAACGAUAUUGGAAGCUUGCUUCUGAUAGGCGUCGACCGGCGCACGGGUGAGUAACGCGUAUCCAACCUGCCCAUCACUUGGGGAUAACCUUGUGAAACGUAAGACUAAUACCCAAAUGACGUCUCUAGAAGACAUCUGAAAGAGAUUAAAGAUUUAUCGGUGAUGGAUGGGGAUGCGUCUGAUUUAGCUUGUUGGCGGGGUAACGGCCCGACCAAGGCGACGAUCAGUAGGGGGUUCUGGAGAGGAAGGUCCCCCCGA
rnacentral:rRNA from 1 species